UGACCUAAACCAAUUCGAAUAUAACAUUUCUCAAUGCAAUUUUGUACGAUCAGGAGAAGGAGAUGAAAUCAGUUUUUUAAAGUUUCAUACAAUCCAGACAGUCCAAUUAUAGUUACAAAUGAGAAUCUACUGAAAUUCUGAUACUACAUACGAUACAAUAGGAAAAUCAACGGAGAAUUGAUCGGCACUUUAUUUCAUGUCCUCAAACUUGGAGGUUUACAGGAUGUGUACCUGGAAUUCACAACAAUGAAGAAGGAGAAAUCAAUAGCAGCAAAAGACAGUAACAGCAGCUCAAAACUGAUCUCAAAUCUCAGGACUGAUAUCAAACAAAACCCAGCAAUUGACACAACCAGUAAACAGCCAAAUGACAAACUCAAAGCAGACCAAAUCAACUCAAAAAGAACUCUAGUGAGUUUUAGACCUCAAUUACUAAACAAAACCAAGAAAUUGGUUUUUUAUCUUUGAUCUUAGAUGAGCUAGGAAACUUGAAUUAAAAGCUGGAAUUCGACACUAUUGUAAAGUAACUUUCAGAUUUUCCAAAACUUUUCCAAGGCUAAACAGAUCUAGGAAUAUUGAAACAAAAAUGUAAUGGAAUAAUAUUUUCAGCUGUAUUUUUUUCUGAAUUUAUCUCUAGGCUCAUAAACUUGUAAUACAAGGCAAAGGGUGUACUCUUUAUAGCCAAAAACUAGGGCUACCUUCAGAUUUUUUUUUACACCUCUAAUCCCUCUUUUUUAUUUUUAGUUUUUGCUAGUUAUCCCCUUAUUUAGUUGCUUGUUUUCCAAGUUACAUUACUAAGUUCCCUAAACUCUAAUAGAAAUCCCAUCUAGAAUGUCCCAGGGAUUUCUAAUCCAGUUAUUUGCAGGAUUUCCUAUCUUGAAUUACCUAUACUACCCUAACUCAAUCCUGAAUAUUAGCCUAGUUAAACCCAACCCCAAUCAUGUUAGCUUGGUCAAAUGUCCAUGGUUAAUCAAUCAAAGGCUAGGAAUUGCUCAGCUAUAUCCAAAUAAUAUUCAAUUGAUCCAAUCAUAUUUUUAAUCCUGAAUUACUUGCUAACAGUCCAAGUUAACCAAAUUGUUGGUAAUUAUCAAUAAAACAUGAAUUUCAGGGAACAAGUAAAAAUUAACAAACAACUACUAAAUCAUGGAUUAAAACUGACUUAACAUGAACGAAAACAAACAUUAAGAACAAGAUUAAUCUACAGACUAAAAUCCAAAAAGAAGCCCUAUGAACACAAUGCAAUCAGAAUCAAUUAAACCCUAGAUCAAGGAAUACUAGAUAUGAACGGAAGAACAGCAAAAAAUAGAAGACAGAUGCAAAAAGGAAAAAGGAAUUUAAGAACAAAAAUCAACACACAGGCAGAAAAUGCUAUCCUAUCGAACUAAAUUACUCAAUAAGAAAUCAAAUUGCAGAUUUAAACAAAAUUAAAUAACUCUAAAACAACACAUGAUUGAACUGAUUUACAAAAAACCAGAUUUAAACUCAUUUUUUAAAAAAAAACAAGGGAUUCUAAAGAAGAACUUAUAUAUGCAGGGCUUGAAAUAUAUAUUGGGAUUUGUUUCGAGAAUUCGAGGAGGAGGUCACCAGUUUCGAACCUUCUAGGGUUCUACCUGCCUCUGAUUUAAAAUUCGAGCAUCUCAGGUGAUAUUUGAAGGGAGAUACCAACAGAUUUGGGACGAGGGAAGUAUGGGGGUUGCUUGUGUGAUUUUGAGACGAUUGGUGAGGAUUUAAGAGAAAAGGAGUAUAGAUAUGGACCGGGGAGGUGAAGAAGAUCCUAGGGUGUAAUUUUGGGAGCAUUUGGACGAACGCCGCCGGUGAAGGCGAUUUUCGGCCGGCGGUAGACGGCAGAGGGAUGGUGACUGGCGGCGGAUUUACAUCAGGGUUAUAGGGGUCUGAGAGAUGGUGAGG
rnacentral:lncRNA from 1 species